CUGACGUCAGCAAGGCCGCGGCCCCUGCCUGCCCCGAGUCCCUAGAGCGGCAGGAAUCCGUCCCCCGCCCUUUUCCUUUAAAGGGCAACGGGCUGAGGGUGGGGCGGGCGGCGCGUCUCCCGCGAUCCAUUCAGGUCAAAAGGGAGAGUGAUCCAAAAGGAGGGCCGAGGGGACCUAUAUUCAGAGACUUAGACGGACACCUGGACAGCUUACUACAACUUGGGACUUUUCAGGAGAAUGGGGAAAAUACAGUUAUUGUACCUGAGCCUCACUCUAGCUAUGAGGUCCUCUUCACUCCUCUUUGGAAGAAAAUUGGAUAUAUUUUCCAAGAUGAAACAGCAGAGAUCUGAUUUCUCCAAAGGUCAUUGAUUUUUGACACUGGGGCUUAUUAGAAGCAUUCAUUAAUCUGUCAAGCAGUUUUAGGGUACUUUCCAUAAGCCAAGUCCUCUGAUAUGUGCUGGGGACAUCAAGCUUUGUCCCAGGAA